AGAGUUUGAUCCUGGCUCAGGACGAACGCUGGCGGCGUGCUUAACACAUGCAAGUCGAACGGAAAGGCCCUGCUUUUGUGGGGUGCUCGAGUGGCGAACGGGUGAGUAACACGUGAGUAACCUGCCCUUGACUUUGGGAUAACUUCAGGAAACUGGGGCUAAUACCGGAUAGGAGCUCCUGCUGCAUGGUGGGGGUUGGAAAGUUUCGGCGGUUGGGGAUGGACUCGCGGCUUAUCAGCUUGUUGGUGGGGUAGUGGCUUACCAAGGCUUUGACGGGUAGCCGGCCUGAGAGGGUGACCGGCCACAUUGGGACUGAGAUACGGCCCAGACUCCUACGGGAGGCAGCAGUGGGGAAUAUUGCACAAUGGGCGGAAGCCUGAUGCAGCAACGCCGCGUGCGGGAUGACGGCCUUCGGGUUGUAAACCGCUUUCGCCUGUGACGAAGCGUGAGUGACGGUAAUGGGUAAAGAAGCACCGGCUAACUACGUGCCAGCAGCCGCGGUGAUACGUAGGGUGCGAGCGUUGUCCGGAUUUAUUGGGCGUAAAGGGCUCGUAGGUGGUUGAUCGCGUCGGAAGUGUAAUCUUGGGGCUUAACCCUGAGCGUGCUUUCGAUACGGGUUGACUUGAGGAAGGUAGGGGAGAAUGGAAUUCCUGGUGGAGCGGUGGAAUGCGCAGAUAUCAGGAGGAACACCAGUGGCGAAGGCGGUUCUCUGGGCCUUUCCUGACGCUGAGGAGCGAAAGCGUGGGGAGCGAACAGGCUUAGAUACCCUGGUAGUCCACGCUGUAAACGGUGGGUACUAGGUGUGGGGUCCAUUCCACGGGUUCCGUGCCGUAGCUAACGCUUUAAGUACCCCGCCUGGGGAGUACGGCCGCAAGGCUAAAACUCAAAGGAAUUGACGGGGCCCCGCACAAGCGGCGGAGCAUGCGGAUUAAUUCGAUGCAACGCGUAGAACCUUACCUGGGUUUGACAUGGAUCGGGAGUGCUCAGAGAUGGGUGUGCCUCUUUUGGGGUCGGUUCACAGGUGGUGCAUGGCUGUCGUCAGCUCGUGUCGUGAGAUGUUGGGUUAAGUCCCGCAACGAGCGCAACCCUUGUUCACUGUUGCCAGCACGUUAUGGUGGGGACUCAGUGGAGACCGCCGGGGUCAACUCGGAGGAAGGUGGGGAUGACGUCAAGUCAUCAUGCCCCUUAUGUCCAGGGCUUCACGCAUGCUACAAUGGCUGGUACAGAGAGUGGCGAGCCUGUGAGGGUGAGCGAAUCUCGGAAAGCCGGUCUCAGUUCGGAUUGGGGUCUGCAACUCGACCUCAUGAAGUCGGAGUCGCUAGUAAUCGCAGAUCAGCAACGCUGCGGUGAAUACGUUCCCGGGGCUUGUACACACCGCCCGUCAAGUCAUGAAAGUUGGUAACACCCGAAGCCGGUGGCCUAACCGUUGUGGGGGAGCCGUCGAAGGUGGGACUGGUGAUUAGGACUAAGUCGUAACAAGGUAGCCG
rnacentral:rRNA from 1 species